CCUAUGCGUUUAUUGAUGAGGGUUCGUCGGUCAGCCUUAUGGAUAAUUCAAUUGCCAGUGAUCUAAAAAUUGAUGGUGUGGCUAGCCCCCUGUGUUUGAAAUGGACGGGAGGGAACAGCAAAACCCGUGUGUCUUUAAACCGUUAUCGCCAUCUCCGAAAUUUGCCUGUUAAAAGUUAUGUGAACGCUGAGCCAAAACUACUUAUUGGAUUAAAUCAUCUUAAUUUGGGUAUUUCCAACAAGAUUCGUGAAGGUGCCUCCAAUGAGCCUGUUGCUGUC